rnacentral:rRNA from 1 species
AGCGAACGCUGGCGGCAGGCCUAACACAUGCAAGUCGAACGAACCUUUCGGGGUUAGUGGCGGACGGGUGAGUAACACGUGGGAACGUGCCCUUAGGUACGGAAUAACUCAGGGAAACUUGUGCUAAUACCGAAUGUGCCCUUCGGGGGAAAGAUUAAUCGCCUUUAGAGCGGCCCGCGUCUGAUUAGCUAGUUGGUUGAGGUAAUGGCUCACCAAGGCGACGAUCAGUAGCUGGUCUGAGAGGAUGAUCAGCCACAUUGGGACUGAGACACGGCCCAAACUCCUACGGGAGGCAGCAGUGGGGAAUCUUGCGCAAUGGGCGAAAGCCUGACGCAGCCAUGCCGCGUGAAUGAUGAAGGUCUUAGGAUUGUAAAAUUCUUUCACCGGGGACGAUAAUGACGGUACCCGGAGAAGAAGCCCCGGCUAACUUCGUG